rnacentral:SRP_RNA from 1 species
GCCAGGGCAAUUGGGCACGUGCCUGUAAUUCCCAGAUACUUGGGAGGCUGAGGCAGGAGAAUCUUCGUGAUUAUAGUGCACAAUGCCGAUCGGGUGGGUGUCUGCACUAAAGUUUAGCAUCAGUAUGAUGACCUCCCAGGAGUGGGGCACCACCAGGUUGCCUAAGGAGGGAUGAACUGGCUCAGGUCAGAAACAGAGCAGGUCAAAACUUGUGUGCUGAUCAGUAGUGAGAUCACACCUGUGAAUAACCAAUGCAUUCCAGCCUGGGCAGUAUAGCAAGACCCCAUUUCUG